GUAUUUGAUUUGACAGCACAUAUACUAAAAUUGGAAUGAUACAAAGAUUAGCAUAGCCCCUGAGCAAGGAUGACAUGCAAAUUUGGGAAGAGUUCCACUGUUUU